AUUGAACGCUGGCGGCAGGCCUAACACAUGCAAGUCGAGCGGAUGAAGGGAGCUUGCUCCUGGAUUCAGCGGCGGACGGGUGAGUAAUGCCUAGGAAUCUGCCUGGUAGUGGGGGAUAACGUCCGGAAACGGGCGCUAAUACCGCAUACGUCCUGAGGGAGAAAGUGGGGGAUCUUCGGACCUCUCGCUAUCAGAUGAGCCUAGGUCGGAUUAGCUAGUUGGUGGGGUAAAGGCCUACCAAGGCGACGAUCCGUAACUGGUCUGAGAGGAUGAUCAGUCACACUGGAACUGAGACAAGGUCCAGACUCCUACGGGAGGCAGCAGUGGGGAAUAUUGGACAAUGGGCGAAAGCCUGAUCCAGCCAUGCCGCGUGUGUGAAGAAGGUCUUCGGAUUGUAAAGCACUUUAAGUUGGGAGGAAGGGCAGUAAGUUAAUACCUUGCUGUUUUGACGUUACCAACAGAAUAAGCACCGGCUAACUUCGUG
rnacentral:rRNA from 1 species